GCGCUCUCAGGAGGGAGCAGUAGCCAUCUGCCUGCAGUGCUGAUCCGGCUUCCUCCCUGCAGUGCUCCAGUGGUCAUUUCCAAGGAAAGCAAGUCCUACCGGAGCUCAGAGAGCCUUGUGUCCGAUCACAGAUGAAAAGCCACCUGCGUAGUCGAUGACUCGAGUCCCAGAUCUGAGCCUUAUCUGAUGCUCAUCUUAUCUGAUGCUCUGCUAAACCCCUUAGUGAAAUGCACAGAGCUCCUCUCGGAUUCCCCACUGAUAGGUAUUUACCGAGGUUCCACUUGAACUUGGCCACAGACACACAAGCACCAGAACUAACAGCUCCCUGACCUUGUAACCUGGAGGUAGGCAGUACACAGAACAAAGUGGCCAGGCAGAUGCUGUGGAGUCCAGCUACAUUUGUUUGAAUUCUGAGUCCCCUACAUCCAAACUGUGUGACAUCAGAGUCCUGGCUUCCUCUGGUUUUCUACAUAGAGAUGCUUCAGUAUCAGCAGCUUUCCAUUCAGGACUAACAAGUAACAA